UGUGCAGUAGAACUACAUUUCAGUCCCCGACAGUCAUCACGUAAAAUGACUUCCCGGAGAAAGGAAGCCGGGGGUAUGUCGCAGCUUCCGCAGUGAACUCUGGAAUCCUGGCUGUCCUCUGGAGACCAGAUUUUUACAUGUACAGGCUUCUCCGUGAGCUCCCAAACCUUACAGAUCAAAUUUUGACAUCGAGCAUCCCAGUAUUUUGCAAGCGAUGGCACUUAUUUCCCCAGAAACUCAAUGCAGUCUCUUGCUGUCUUUGUUCUGCUGAUGCCAAUGUGGCAUUCUCUCCGCCAGCUCAUUCUGGCUCGGCCUUGUCUCCUCUGCGGGCAAAGCCCCAAAGCUGUUUCUUGAGGUGGAAGAAUUACUUAAACCAAGCAUGGAUCCCUUAUGCUAUUUACAACCAGAAGUAACUGUUUUAAGACUUUUUUUUUUUUAAUUUUACAUUGUUGUGCUGCGUGGGAGCUGCUGUCAAGCAAUGUAUCAACUGAAGUCUUUCCGUUGCUAUAGUUCAAGGGCCACCGUAGCUUGCGUAGAAUUUCCUAUUGGUGCUCAUGUGAUCUUGACAAUGACUAAAACUAUAUUCUAAGGUGUGAUCUAACUCAGAUGAGUAUGUUUAGAAUAUUUCUUUUUUAAUGCUCAGGGUCCACAAACCACACUGGCCAAGGCUCAUAUAAAAGUGACAACAUAAUGCUUAGGCCAAAGUCAAGAAUUAGGCUGAACUGGAUUGGUCCAGACCACACCUGACCUGUUAUCAUUUCAUGCUAUCACAGAGCUUCCCUCCUUCUUUAUCCUCUGUGUGAAAUAAAGAUGGCAUUGAUGCUGGCAGCUGUGUACACGUGUGAACAGAGGAAGUCAAGCGCUGUGCUCCAGGGGUUUCCGUCCUAGAGAGAUACAUGGACGGAGUAGAAGUAGUGAGUCAGAAGGGACCGAAGAGAAUGGGACAAGAGUGACAGUGGCGGUGAAGCAGGCAGCGCUAUCUGAGACAGGGUGCUCAGAAAAGAGGUGUCCGCGGUGGCACUGGAGCAGAGGCUUCAAGUGUGGAAUCGAGUCACAGGAGGAGGGAACGCCAGAGAAGGUGGCUUUCAGGAGGAACAGCGAGGCCUCCACCUCAACGCCUCGGAGCCCCUUGGAAGCCAGGUGCCGCUGAGGCUCAUGGGGGCGGCACCGUCGAGUGUCCUGUGGACUCCUGGCCGCUGUGCGUCGCCGAGCACGCUCAGAACACUCUAGAACCAAGAAGGACCGCUGCUUUCUGGCCCAGUUUCCCUCCAGGGCCUCCACGGGCACAACUAGCACCUAAUUCUAUUACAAAUAGUUCUGCAAUCGUUUUUGUAAUAUUUUGCAUUACAAAAACUCUUCAUUACAAAUAUUUUUUUCCAAA